rnacentral:rRNA from 1 species
AUUGAACGCUGGCGGCAGGCCUAACACAUGCAAGUCGAACGAGUGGCGGGCGGGGUAGUAAUGUAUGGGAAACUGCCUGAUGGAGGGGGAUAACUUCUGGAAACGGUAGCUAAUACCGCAUACCAUCAGAUGUGCCCAGGUGGGAUGAGCUAGUUGGUGGGGUAACGGCUCACCAAGGCGACGAGCCCUAGCGGGUCUGAGAGGAUGACCAGCCACACUGGAACUGAGAAAAGGUCCAGACCCCUACGGGAGGCAGCAGUGGGGAAUAGGGCACAAUGGGCGAAAGCCGGAUGCAGCCAGGCGGGGUGUAUGAAGAAGGCUGAAGGGUUGCAAAGUAUUUUCAGCGGGGAGGCGUUACCCGCAGAAGAAGCACCGGCUAACUCCGUGCCAGCAGCCGCGGUAAUUC